rnacentral:rRNA from 1 species
UACAGAGGGUGCAAGCGUUAAUCGGAAUUACUGGGCGUAAAGCGCAUGUAGGUGGUUUGGCAAGUUGGAUGUGAAAGCCCUGGGCUUAACCUGGGAACUGCAUUCAAAACUAUCAAGCUAGAGUAGAGUAGAGGGAAGUGGAAUUUCCGGUGUAGCGGUGAAAUGCGUAGAUAUCGGAAGGAACACCAGUGGCGAAGGCGGCUUCCUGGACUCAUACUGACACUGAGGUGCGAAAGCGUGGGGAGCAAACAG